GACGGACGCUGGCGGCGUGCUUAACACAUGCAAGUCGAACGGAAAGGCCCUGCUUGCAGGGUACUCGAGUGGCGAACGGGUGAGUAACACGUGGGUGAUCUGCCCUGCACUUCGGGAUAAGCCUGGGAAACUGGGUCUAAUACCGGAUAGGAGCCAUUUUUAGUGUGAUGGUUGGAAAGUCUUUUCGGUGUAGGAUGAGCUCGCGGCCUAUCAGCUUGUUGGUGGGGUAAUGGCCUACCAAGGCGGCGACGGGUAGCCGGCCUGAGAGGGUGGACGGCCACAUUGGGACUGAGAUACGGCCCAGACUCCUACGGGAGGCAGCAGUGGGGAAUAUUGCACAAUGGGCGCAAGCCUGAUGCAGCGACGCCGCGUGGGGGAUGACGGCCUUCGGGUUGUAAACUCCUUUCGCUAGGGACGAAGCUUUUUGUGACGGUACCUAGAUAAGAAGCACCGGCUAACUACGUG
rnacentral:rRNA from 1 species